rnacentral:rRNA from 1 species
GGUAAGAACGGUACUAACUAACUUAUAACGAACUAUUAGUAGUUUUUCCUAGUAAAUGAUCAGAAACCAGAUAGAACGUCUUUACACGCGUUUCCGUGAUUAUUAGCAGUUCUAAGGCAGAUACACCGAUAGCUCUUCUCACUUCUUCUCUUCUCUUCCUUCUUCUCUGAACACACUCUACUUCUCUUCAUUGGUCCCCCGAUAUAUUUCUUCACCCUCCUGGAAGAACACUUCUUUCUUCUCUUCUUUCUCCCGGUUUAGUGUUUCACGUCUACUCUCCUCCCCUUGUUUUAGGGAUCCGCGACGACCUCCCUAGGCUAGCCCGGACCGAUGAGUAGAGAGAGGGAGCGUGGAGGAAGAGGUGGAGGCCGGCGGCGGUGUCGGUCCGGCCGCAUCACCACGCGGAGACGGUGGGUAGGUAGGUGCUCGUAUGAGUGGAGAUCGUGGUGUGGUGGUAUAGGUGAGGUGUUCAUCGCGGUGGUGGUGGUCGAGCGCGCGUGCUGGUCGGUUGGUGGAGGCGGCGGUAGAGGGACGCGGCGGAUCAUGGAAGUCGUGGUGGUCGCGGAGGUGGCGCGGAAGUGGGGUGCGAGCGCGCGGGCUGGUCUGCUCCGCAGACCAUGGGGCGCGCUAAGAGGAACGGAGCGACGAAGAGAAGAAGGAGGAAGGGAACGGAGCGACGGAGAGGGUGCGGGGACGGCGACAAGUAGAGAGACGAGGAGGAGGAGACGAAGGGGAUUGCGACGACGACGACGAGAAGAAGAGUUGGGGUGCGACGACGAGGUAGAGAAGGUGAAGGAGAUGAAGGGAGGAAGAGACUUGAGCUUCGAAGAUCGUCGACGAAGAAGGAACCGGGGGACGAGACGAGGAUUAGACUUGGUAUUUAACGACGAUGAGGGGAAGUAAGAGAUUUAAAGACAUCUGAACUCUAGUAUACAUUAUAAGUAUAAACCGAUCACGAACUUUGAACGAUAACCAAGUCUAAACAUUGACAUAUUAUUACGAUACUGUACAAGUCAAAGUCUGAUCACUAACAAAUCAUGACAUCAUGAUAAAAACAAGUAGGCUCUCAUAAUCUUGUCACGGGACAUUAUGGUAUAAGCGUAAACACACACACACACACACUUUAUAUAAUUAAUACAUGACGUGAACGAUGACUAAUCACAGGUCAAAUGACAUCUGACAACGAGUUCAAGGACACUAUAUAUAGUACAAACUAUCAAAUCAGAAGAUCAAUAACAACGUGACUAAAUACAGUUCCUCUAAACCGAUCACACUACACUCAGGUCAUGUACACGAAAUAUUAGGACAAACAUUGGCCACAAGUAAAACAUCAGGGCCACUAUAUAGAACAUGGAACACGAUCGAUACUUGGACACUAUAUAUACACACACAAUACAAGUACAGGAAAAUGAAGAGAACAGUAACUACUAUCGAAAACAAUCAUAGAAUUAAAGAGUUCGUAAUGCUUUUAUGGUUUUUCUAACAACUUCUAUUAAACUUGGAAGGAACGAUGACACAAUAAAAGAAAUAGCAGUUGAAACCAAUCAAAUCCAGAUAUAAAGAUACGUUAGUAGUAGAUUUAAGAUAAUGGAUCGAAAUCGGCUCAUAUCAACGGCAGCGGAUCAGGGACUCCUCUUGUGCUGUGAGCAUCAAACCCAUAUUUUUGGGGUGACAUGGAUGAUAGCUAGUAAAACCGCGGCAACGGCCCCUGAUCACAGCUCGCUAACACAAUCCGAUAUCUGAUCCAAAAAGAAGAAAAAGAUCAAACACGGUAUAUAAACACUAUAUAGAGAUCGGUGAUUGGGGACAAAAUCAAUCAUAGAAAAACAAAAGAAAAGGAAAAAACGUCCAACCUAAUAGGAGAGCCAAUACCGAAUGAUAAGUCUAGUAGUCCGAAUACGUUCGUUGUGAUGUUUGUCGUGCCUUUCAUAAGUUCUUGACUAUUCAUUCUAAAGGGUAGUUAAUCUACUAAAUCGAGCCGUCGCUCUUCAUCAAAAACUCCUAUCCGGAUCGAGAAUACUAGGAAUAAGAUCUCCGGUAGGAACACAACGAGGAUGGACGGUAUAAACACCUAAAGUCCCGGUAAACGGGCGACAUACAGUCGCACCAAUGAGGGUAGGAGGCCUAACAAAACCGUACUCGAAGCGAGUUGUCGUAUCGAGUAUGGUUUUGUUAAUGAGUGUACCCACCGGACUUUCGGACUUAUACAGUAUAUCCUCGUUGUUGGGACUCUAGAGUAGCAAACGGAGAUCAAUAGGUAACGUCCCUAAGUCCAUGUUACUCUUCUUGGUGUUGAUACGAGGUGUUGUCAGAAUAAGUCGAGGAUAAGUAUAUGGAGAUGUGGUCCUCUACACAGGUUACCUCAAUUUACCAGGAGGUAAACCAGUUGGUUGUAGAAGUUGUGUUCACGGGUGUGUUCUACUGAAACUACUAUAUCUGUUCGAGUGUAACGAACCAGAGCUCAAGUGAACCUCACGGCUUCUACUAGGUUAAUCCGGCCACUAUGAUCUCCUUUACUUCUUCUAAUUCUCACCUUUCCUCGAUCACCUUCUUCGUUCCUUCUAACUCUUCUUGUAGUUGCGACCGUCAUGAUAUAGUAGUGUCAAACUCAACUCACACCGACUCUAUAGGUAACUAUGUACACUCCAAGGUUGUGGAAGUGUAAGUCGACUCGUUCUAUCGCUCUCAGGUCUCCUUCUUUAUGAAGUCUAGGUUCUUCUUUAAGAGUUUCGGUUCCGUGUUCUACUAGGUCUCGAGUUUGUUGUUUCACUAGUUCAACUUCUGAGUAGUAGAUAAUUAGAACUUCUUCGUUUUCUUCAACUACACUAACUUCUAAUUCUUGGUCUUUGCGUAAACGGGUAGUAGUAUGUCCUCGCACUAAAUCGUCCAAAUAGGUUAGGAGAACUACUGUACGAAGGAAUACUCUAGAAACGACGAUGAAAGGUAACACAAUAUGGUAGUUAAUUCGAUCUGAACUUUUUAAUAAACGAACCUGUACUAGUAUGUAUGUAACAACCACCGUAACGAGAGUAAGGACUACUACUGUGAAUAAAAGGAAUACGAUCAGGAUACGAAUUAUUUUGUAUAAUAAGGGUACGAUCAGAACUCGAAUUACUAUUUAAAGUAAGAGUACAAUCACAGCUGGAACGACUAAAGAUGGUAGGAUUUGUACACGAAAUAUCGAUACGAAUACAUUAACCUAUAAGCUAACUACUGAACCUCCCAUAAUAGGGAUGGUGAACAUAACAGAGAAAGCAACUUACGAGAAAGUCCAAAAACGAACACGUGCUAGGUAAUGUACAACUGGUCCAAGUUCCACUGUAAGGAACCCUGGGACCACCCGAGUCUCGUACCCCUACUCCUCUUCGUUCCCCCGUGUGUGCUCCUUCCCUCUUCGACCUCGUCCGUACUCCUAUCUCUUAGUUUUCCUGUCCUCGACGUCAACCACUCCACUAGCUCGCUCACGAUGUACUAGUUUCGGGCUUUACACGCGUUUCCGUGAUUAUUAGCAGUUCUAAGGCAGAUACACCGAUAGCUCCUCUCACUUCUUCUCUUCUCUUCCUUCUUCUCUGAACACACUCUACUUCUCUUCAUUGGUCCCCCGAUCUAUUUCUUCACCCUCCUGGAAGAACACUUCUUUCUUCUCUUCUUUCUCCCGGUUUAGUGUUUCAAGUCUACUUUCCUCCCCUUGUUUUAGGGAUCCGCGACCUCCCUAAGCUAGCCCGGACCGAUGAGUAGAGAGAGGGAGCGUGGAGGAAGAGGUGGAGGCCGGCGGCGGUGCAGGUCCGGCCACACCACCACGCGGAGACGGUGGGUAGGUAGGUGCUCGUAUGAGUGGAGGUCGUGGUGUGGUGGUAUAGGUGAGGUGGUCAUCGCGGUGGUGGUGGUCGAGCGCACGUGCUGGUCGGUUGGUGGACGCGGCGGUAGAGGGGCGCGGCGGAUCAUGGAAGUCGUGGUGGUCGCGGAGGUGGCGCGGAAGUGGGGUGCGAGCGCGCGGGCUGGUCUGCUCCGCAGACCACGGGGCACACUAAGAGGAACGGAGCGACGAAGAGAAGAAGGAGGAAGGGAACGGAGCGACGAAGAGGGUGCGGGGACGGCGACAAGUAGAGAGACGAGGAGGAGGAGACGAAGGGGACUGCGAUUACGACGACGAGAAGGAGAGUUGGGGUGCGACGACGAGGUAGAGAAGGUGAAGGAGGUGAAAGGAGGAAGAGACUUGAGCUUCGAAGAUCGACGACGAAGAAGGAACCGGGGGGACGAGACGAGGAUUAAACUUGGUAUUUAACGACGAUGAGGGGAAGUAAGAGAUUUAAAGACAUCUGAACUCUAGUAUACAUUAUAAGUAUAAACCGAUCACGAACUUUGAACG